rnacentral:rRNA from 1 species
AUACGGAGGGUGCAAGCGUUAUCCGGAAUCAUUGGGUUAAAAGGGUCCGUAGGCGGGCAAUUAAGUCAGAGGUGAAAUCCCACAGCUCAACUGUGGAACUGCCUUUGAUACUGGUUGUCUUGAGUUAUAGUGAAGUAGAUAGAAUGUGUAGUGUAGCGGUGAAAUGCAUAGAUAUUACACAGAAUACCGAUUGCGAAGGCAGUCUACUAACUGUUGACUGACGCUAAUGGACGAAAGCGUGGGGAGCGAACAGGAUUAGAAACCCUAGUAGUCC